UCAGCAGGGACGAAGCCGUGAGGUGACGGUACCUGCAGAAGAAGCACCGGCCAACUACGUGCCAGCAGCCGCGGUAAUACAGAGGGUGCGAGCGUUAAUCGGAUUUACUGGGCGUAAAGGGCGCGUAGGCGGUAAGAUGUGUGUGAUGUGAAAGCCCCGGGCUUAACCUGGGAAGUGCAUUGCAAACUAUCUAACUGGAGUAUAUGAGAGGGUGGCGGAAUUUCCGGUGUAGCGGUGAAAUGCGUAGAGAUCGGAAGGAACGUCAAUGGCGAAGGCAGCCACCUGGCAUAAUACUGACGCUGAGGCGCGAAAGCGUGGGGAGCGAACAGGAUUAGAUACCCUGGUAGUCCACGCUGUAAACGAUGAGGACUAAAUGUUGGUAGGGGAACCUAUCAGUAUUGAAGCAAACGCGAUAAGUCUUCCGCCUGGGAAGUACGGCCGCAAGGUUGAAACUCAAAUGAAUUGACGGGGGCCCGCACAAGCGGUGGAGCAUGUGGUUUAAUUCGAUGCAACGCGAAGAACCUUACCUACCCUUGACAUCCUGCGAAUCCCGAUGAGAGUUGGGAGUGCCGAAAGGAACGCAGAGACAGGUGCUGCAUGGCUGUCGUCAGCUCGUGUUG
rnacentral:rRNA from 1 species